AUCGAGAGUUGAUAAAUCGAUAGAUAUAUCGAUAGAUAUCUAUCGUUGAUAGAUCAAGAGUUGAAUGAAGAUUAUUUUUGAACGUUUCCAAUUGUGUGUUAACGUCUGUAUCUGAGAAAAUUGACAAAAGAUCAUCUGCUUUAACCGCAAGGUCAGAGGAAAAGUGUAAGGGGUCGCAAUACUUGUAGCUUCUCGCUGUAAUAUAAUUUGGUGGUAUCUUUGGGACUUUCACUUUAAGUAUGACAUAUAUUGGAAGGUGGUCGCUAAUUGCAGAAUUUAUUAACACACCACUUUCGAGUACAGACGCUGUGUUCGAAACGAGAAUUACAUCGAUAAGUGAUUGUGUUGUAUCAGUAAUUCUUGUCGGUUUUUUAAUGAUUUGUUGGAGGUUUAGCUCUGUGGAGACUUCUACGAGUGCUUUUCUGUCCGGUCCAUCAUGGAGCAUGUUGCAGUUUAGAUCUCCAAGUACGAAAAUCGGUUGAUUCAUACGGGUAUAAAUCGGCUUAAAAUGGUCUUCAAAACAGUUUAGAGCAGUCUGGUGGUCGAUAUGUUACGCAAAUUAUAAUGGAUCUAUUCUUUUUACUUUGGAUAUUUA